UACGGGGGGGGGCAAGCGUUGUUCGGAAUUACUGGGCGUAAAGGGCUCGUAGGCGGCCAACUAAGUCGGAUGUGAAAUCCCCAAGCUUAACUUGGGAACUGCAUCCGAUACUGGAUGGCUUGAAUCCGGGAGAGGGAUGCAGAAUUCCAGGUGUAGCGGUGAAAUGCGUAGAUAUCUGGAGGAAUACCGGUGGCGAAGGCGGCAUCCUGGACCGGCAUUGACGCUGAGGAGCGAAAGCUAGGGGAGCAAACAGG
rnacentral:rRNA from 1 species